rnacentral:lncRNA from 1 species
CCGAGCCGUGCGCUCCGCUCCGUGGGGUGCGAGAUGACUAGAGGCCUGGAGCUCCCUUGCUGAGGUGCUGGUGAGAAAGUCAAACCAUGCAAGCCUGUAUUGCAGAGUACUCUCUAUCCACUGUGGGAGCAGCUUUCCAGCUUCCCUCCCUUCUUCGGGGAUUCUCAAGCCAUCUCUCGCUGAACCUUGAAAGGAAAGCUUCAAUUAUGUAAACAACAUGGGUGAAUAACAGGCACACCCUCUUGGAGCAAGUACAGACUCCAUCCUUCUUUUGCAACCAAGCCCCAUAUCAAUGGACACCCAGCUGUCUCUCCCCUGGAGUGUCCCCGACAGUCACUAAUAGUGACAGGUUACAGCGGAUGUGUUGUGUCUAUGAUGACUACAAAGUUGGCUGAGAGCACACCAGAGUCCCUGCGAGUGGCUACAAUAACCACUGAUGCUUCUCCUCUCAAGAGCCCACCCUAUUCAUAUCUAACAGAAAUUUGACUUUUGUUCAGUUAUCCACCCUGCUCUGUGAAGUCAUGCUCUUCAGGUGCAGCUUGCUCAAACAUCGAGCCCAGGAAGCUGAGGGCUAAUUUUCUAGGUCAGUCAUGUGGAUUCUAACCUCCUUGCUGUAGUCAGUAGUUUAGGAAGAGGCAGAUGAUCAGACUGGUUACUGAGAAGAAGCUGACAUGAUCUUGAGUGCACCGUAGCUGGCAGAGAGAAGAGAAUGCAGCGUUGGGGUGGCUAUGACAUCACCGAAUUAAGCCAUCGCACAGGUGUCCUCUCCAGGGUAUAUUUUCACCACACUACUUUCCUGACAAUAACUUUCCUGUUGCUUAGCAGUGCCCCAUCCUAUUAUUUAGAGCUUAAAAAAUUUUCUGAUAGACAUUUUUCCUUUUUAAUAAAAGGCU